UACAGAGGGUGCAAGCGUUAAUCGGAAUUACUGGGCGUAAAGCGAGCGUAGUCGGUUAUUUAAGUCGGAUGUGAAAUCCCCGGGCUCAACCUGGGAAUUGCAUUCGAUACUGGAUAGCUAGAGUUCGGCAGAGGGAAGCGGAAUUUCGGGUGUAGCGGUGAAAUGCGUAGAUAUCCGAAGGAACACCAGUGGCGAAGGCGGCUCUCUGGACAGAUACUGACGCUGAGGCGCGAAAGCGUGGGAAGCAAACAGG
rnacentral:rRNA from 1 species